rnacentral:rRNA from 1 species
UACGUAGGUGGCAAGCGUUGUCCGGAUUUAUUGGGUUUAAAGGGUGCGUAGGCGGCCCCAUAAGUCAGUGCUGAAAUACUCUAGCUUAACUAGAGGGGUGGCAUUGAUACUGCGGGGCUUGAGUGGAGUCGAGGUAGGCGGAAUUGACGGUGUAGCGGUGAAAUGCUUAGAUAUCGUCAAGAACACCGAUAGUGUAGACAGCUUACUAGGCUUCAACUGACGCUGAGGCACGAAAGUGUGGGGAUCAAACAGGAUUAGAAACCCCCGUAGUCC